rnacentral:rRNA from 1 species
AUCAACGCUGGCGGCGUGCCUAACACAUGCAAGUCGAACGCGAAAGUCCCGGCAACGGGAUGAGUAGAGUGGCAGACGGGUGAGUAACACGUGGGUAACCUACCCUGGAGUGAGGAAUAACCCCGCGAAAGCGGGGCUAAUACCGCAUAACAUUCCCGAGACCCAAGUCUCGGGGAUCAAAGCCCGCAAGGGCGCUUGAGGAGGGGCCCGCGCCUGAUUAGCUAGUUGGUAGGGUAACGGCCUACCAAGGCUUCGAUCAGUAGCCGGCCUGAGAGGGCGAACGGCCACACUGGAACUGAGACACGGUCCAGACUCCUACGGGAGGCAGCAGUGGGGAAUUUUGCGCAAUGGGCGAAAGCCUGACGCAGCAACGCCGCGUGGGUGAUGAAGUCCCUUGGGAUGUAAAACCCUGUCGGCUGGGACGAAAGGGCCCGCAAGGGCAAUUGACUGUACCAGCAGAGGAAGCCCCGGCUAACUCCGU